rnacentral:rRNA from 1 species
GACGAACGCUGGCGGCGUGCUUAACACAUGCAAGUCGAACGGAAAGGCCCUGCUUUUGUGGGGUGCUCGAGUGGCGAACGGGUGAGUAACACGUGAGUAACCUGCCCUUGACUUUGGGAUAACUUCAGGAAACUGGGGCUAAUACCGGAUAGGAGCUCCUGCUGCAUUGUGGGGGUUGGAAAGUUUCGGCGGUUGGGGAUGGACUCGCGGCUUAUCAGCUUGUUGGUGGGGUAGUGGCAUACCAAGGCUUUGACGGGUAGCCGGCCUGAGAGGGUGACCGGCGACAUUGGGACUGAGAUACGGCCCAGACUCCUACGGGAGGCAGCAGUGGGGAAUAUUGCACAAUGGGCGGAAGCCUGAUGCAGCAACGCCGCGUGCGGGAUGACGGCCUUCGGGUUGUAAACCGCUUUCGCCUGUGACGAAGCGUGAGUGACGGUAAUGGGUAAAGAAGCACCGGCUAACUACGUG